rnacentral:lncRNA from 1 species
AUGAAAAGGAGAAACAAAGUUAGUCUCAUUCAUAUCAUUUCAAAAGGAAUAUACAUAUGCAAUUAGUGGGCUGAUUGUGAGAGAAAAUGUCCACAAAACUUUAACCAAACACCAAAUGCCCAAGUUGCCAAAUGAUGUUUAAUUCGGAAAAAUAUAUUUAGAAACAUUCAAAUAAAUAAUUUCCCCUUCUAAAUUUUCAUUUUCAACAACAUAUUUUACAAGCCAAGCUCAACUUCAGGCCAAGAUUUUCUGCUCCUAUAAUUAUAUUUUACCAUAAAACUAGGUCCUUGAAAGGCUAAGAUUUUCUGACUCUUGUGACUAGUCAAAGCCUAAGAUUCUUUCAAUUCAUCCGUAGCUAACAUUUUAGACUAAAAGUAUACCUCAUCCUUUUGGCCAGCCAAAGCCUUGGCCAAUGCAUUCACUUCAACAACUUUCUGGGCAGCAAAUGCCAGCCAUGACUUGAUUUCAUCGUCGAGUUUGUUCUCAUUAACAAGAUCAACAGCAGUGUGAAGAAGUGAGCAGGAGGUGGAGACCACAAGCUUGUCUGCAAAGAAAAAUAAUAAAUUAUACAACAAAUCCCAUAAAAGAAUAAGAAAUAUUUAUCACAAAGAAAAAUGCAGGCAAAGGAUGUAUACCUUUGCCAACAACACCCUCAAGCCCCCGGAGAACACUAAGAGAAGCAGCAAGAUCAUUGGCCCAAAUGUUCCUUCCAUCAACCACUCCAGCAAAGAGGUACUUGCCAGCAGGGAAUCCACUCUUGAUCAAUUCAAGGGUCUUCGUUCCACGAACCAAAUCAAAUCCAUAAGCGGUGACACCCUUCAAAGAAGUGAGGGUCUGGAAUGCCUCAGCUGGAACAUCAGCAAAGUAGGUCUCAACAAGAACAUUCAAGCCAGACAGAGUUGACUCUAGCUCGGCAUAAGCCUCACUGAAUGCAUGCAAUUUGUGUGAGUCAAGAUCCAUAACAAGCAAUGGCUCAUCAAACUGAAUCCAGGAAGCACCAGCAGCCUUAAGCUCAGAAAUAACUUCCCUGCAGAAGUGUUAAUUGGUACAACACAGAUUAAUGAUGUCACUCGAUAUAUACACACAGAGUUAUUUAGCACAUACACAUUUAUAAAUCAGUAAUAGGUGAUAAUUUCUUACUUGUAGAUUGGAAGGAUUUUCGGAAGAAGAGAAAGAAGAGAAAAGGUCUUCGCAACACCCUUGGCAGGCUUAGACAGCAACAAGUAUGACACAGGGCCAAUAAGCACUGGGACAGUUUCAACUCCAAGCUGCAGCAUUAGACAAGUGAUCGAUAUUAGCAUCUCACAAACUUGAUCUGAUUGAUAGAAAGUUACAAGCAAGUUCAGAAUUCGUUUAAUGAAAUCUCUAUGAAAAAUCUUCAGGGUCCACAAUGUGUUGAAAGUACCCUUUUCAAGUAAUUUAUCUUAAGACUAUUUUGCAAACAGUAUUGCUUUCCUUACAGAUCAAAUAAAUCAAACAACAUAUGAACACAUUUACUGAACCAAGUCUAAGUUCAAAGCUCUAUAAAUAAAUGUCAAUGAAUCUAUAGUAAAUUCUAUUGCAUCCUAAGCUAAAGAUGAGCAUAUCAUAUAAGAAUUUCAAGGUGAACGUAACCCAAUUUCAAUAUAUUGUAGAUUCAGAUAUCAAACGAAAUAAAAUUUGUAAAUAUAGACAGAACUGAGAAUAAACACUCACCCCCUUAGCCUCCUUGUACUCAGUCACAGCCUUGUGGGAAGCGUAGGAGAACUUAACAUCGGGUCCCAAUUCAGGAACAAUGAAAUGACUGCAUCAACACGAAGCCAAACACGCGUCAGCAUUCAGUACAAAACCAUUACACCAUAAAUAACUUGAAAUGCCGCUCUUCCAAGUAGUGAAUACUUACUAGUUGGUGUCGAACCACUUGGUCAUUUCCAUAGCGGGAACAGAGGCGUUUCCUCUGGCCAUGGAGAAGUAAACAUCAAAUCCAAUCUCGCCGCCGUUCCAGUUAUACCUCGGGGGCACGGCACCGAGCAUUGCGGUGGUGUCGAGCACUUGGUCGUAGUAGGAGAAAGUGUUGCUGGGAAUGUAUUUGAUCCCGGCCUGGGACAUCUGUUUCCAGAUGGAGGAUCUGAGAUCAGCGGACACCUUUUGCAAAUCCUCAGCGCUGCUCUUGCCAUCCCAGAAGGAUUCCAACGCGAACUUGAGCUCCCUCUUGGGGCCCAUGCGUGGGUAUCCAACGAUGUGAGAUGCCAUUUUACUGUCAUAAUCACGUCAUCAAUGAAUCGAAAAUCAGUCACUUUCAUUAAAUCAAGAAAAUAUUCAUUCAAAUGGAUGGGUCAUUGCUAUUACUGCUCAAAUCAAAUGAAAUCAAGAACACUUAUCAGAGCAUAAAAUCUUAAAUUAAUUUUUUUAUAAAAAAAUAAAAAACCAGUUGAAACAAGCUGAUAAUAAUCCAAGAGUUUGAGAUGAUUUUUUUCUUUCUGUAAUCACAUGAACAAUUAUGUACUUUCAGUCAUUUUUGAAGGAUUAAAACAAAAAAUUCUACAAAUAGAUUCUGAAAAGAAGAAUCUAAAAAUAGAUUCAAAAACAGUAACACAAGUAGAGUUCAAAUUGUUUUUCGGAAAAGAUUAAUUACAGAUCUGAUUGAUUCACGUUCAGAUCUAGCAAAAUCACGGCAGCCAAACACUAGAUCUAACACUAACAGUCACUCACCAGUCCAUUAGAAAAUGAAAUCAAGUUCAAAAUUCUUUUAAAGUUAAUUCUUUUUUAGAAAAUGACCAGAUUUUAGUUGAGUAUUAGUGAGUUUUUUACAAAAUAAUUUAUUUUUGUUUUUUAGAUCCAAAAGUUCGGAAAUCAAAACCAUGUUCAAUGCUUAUUCAUGAUUAACGGCGUAAAAACGCUACUGCAGAGAAGACAUAACGAAAAUGGGAACCGUACCAAACAGAGAAAGAAGAGCAGAGAAAUUGAGAGUCGAGAGGAGAGAGAGAAGAGAGCGGCGAGUUUGGGGGAGUGCCCUCUCCGUUAUUUAUAGCCAAAAAUCAAAUCUGGUUUGGUGGUUGCCUUUGGCGUGCCAACCUGUAGAUCUGAGAUUUUUCAUCUUAAUUUCUUUCUCUUAUUUAUUUAUUUAUUUAUUAUGAUUUUCAGUGCAGUUCAUAAAAUAUAGAGCUGACGCGCGCUUUUCUGAUGUGGCGCGUGAAUUGGAAAUGCGGUAGGUCUUUGUGGGCCCCACGGCACGGUCAGGACUGAAGGAAAAAUGUGAGAAGUUAUCAUAAUUUCAACAGUGCCAUAAUUAGCAAUUACACCACCAAAUAUUUCUUGAGUUUUUUUUUUUUGAUUGCUUUAAAUGCAGAGUUGUUAUGAAUUGUGUUAAUUGUAGAGUUGUUAUGAUUAGAUUACAUUAUAAUUCGUCACAAUUAUGAUAGGUAUGUACGUAUAUAAUAAUUUAUGAGUAAUGAUAUAACCACAAACUCUUAUACAAACUUAUUUUGUACAAAUUGAUGUGGCAUGAUAAAAUUAGUUGAAUUAAAUAUUACUUGAUCCACAUGAUUUGUUAUUAUUAUUUUAUAUUUUCAUUCAACCAAUGAAUUAAUGACACGUCAGUUUGUACAAGAUAAGUUUGUACAAGAGUUUAUGGUUGUAUCAUCACUCAUAAUUUAUAUAAGAUCUCGAAUAUUUAAAAAAUUUAUAAAUCAUUAUUUUCAUGUACAUUUACCUGGUAGCAAUGACAAUAACAUAAAAUAAACUCCAAACAAGAAUGGAUUAUAUUAUUUAUGUUAUUUUAUAGCUUUUUAAUUGAUUUUUAAAAGGAUUAAUUGUUAAUCAUUACUCUCCAACCGUAAUCACCAUUAAAUAUUUAUUUAAUUUAAUAGUCGGUAGAUCAUAAAUAAGAUUAGAAUAUUUAAUGGACAAUCUAAUUGCUACUACAAUUGUUAUCAUUUUUUUAAGGUAAGGGAUUAGACAAUACUCAAAUUUAUUUUUUAACCCCUUACUCCCUAAAGAUUCGAAUUUAACUAACUAAUUAAAUAAGACUGCUUAAAAACCACUCAACCACAUCUUUUGGGGACCAAUUAAUAUCGAUGUUUAAACUGAGGUUUAUUAUUAAAUUUUUUAAGUUUCAAGUUUCAACCGCUAACAACAUUAUCAUCGAUUAAUGAUAAAUAUAAUAAUAUUUCAUCAAAAAACCAUUUAACACAUCCAUCCAUAUUAAACAUAAGUAAAAAAUUUAUCAUGCAUUUCAAAUAUAUUUUUCAUCCUAAAAGUUAUGGAGAAAAUCUUGAUAUCAAAACUUACAAUGUAAUUAUGGGAUGUAAUUUUGCAUUUGAGGUCAGCACAACUUAAAAAUUACUAUGAAUGAAAAUUUAUAAUAAGCAGACACCACAAAAAAAAAUUAUUUAUAAGUAUUACAAUCAUGCAGUUUUAUUUAAGUAUUUAACCAAGUCAUUCAAUUUCUAAUUAAGACGGUAUAAAUUAGAUUUGGGCUGCCUAAGACCAAAAGUCAAAAAAAAAAAAAGAAUAUUCCUAAUAAGCAGCCUACCGCGGUCACGCGCCUUAAGAAACGCUUGGACUUAGCACACGAUUUUAAUCCAAAAUGUAUAAAAAAGGAAAAAUUUAUGAGGUGUAUAAUUAUCUUGAGUUGUUAUAUUUUGAAGAAACAAUGAAGAAAGUUGGUGGCCGAAGUUGAUCCGGGGCGAAUGGUGGUGGGCCCACGUUGUUGCAUUAUAAUUGGAGUUAUUGUAAUUUUUCUUAUAAUUAAUAAACUCCAUUUUUCAAAGAAAAUAAAUAAAUAAAUACACUCCCGAUUACGAAAAUAUCAUUUCAUGAGUGUCAAAGUUAGAGCUGGCAAAAUUUGACACGACCCGAUUACCUGACACGAACACGACAUAAAUAAAUAAGUAUGGAUCGUCAAAUUUAACACGAUUAUUAAAUGGGUCGGGUCUGGGUCAACACAAUUUUUUUCCGUGUCGGGUUUGGGUUAAAAUUCUUGACCCAUUUACCCGAUCAAUGACCCGAUUAUAUUUUCUAUUUUAAAAUAAUUUACAUAUUCUUAUAAUUAAAACUCAAAUAUUAGAGAUAUUUUUUUUAUUCUUUAAAAUGGUGAAUAUAAACACAGUGUUUUAUUUAUAAAAUUUUACAUACAUUUAGAGCUUCAAUAGUGUAAAUGUGUAAAAAUUAAUAGACAUGUAUAUUUUAUAAUAUUGAUAUAUAAUAUUAUAUAUAUAUAAUUAAAACAUCAAUAGUGUAAAUGUGUAAUAUAUUGGUAGAUAUAUAUAUUUUAUAAUAUCGAUAAAUUAUGUAUGUAUGUAUUUAUGUACAUACGUAUGUAUGUAUUUAUGUAUAUACGUAUGUAUGUAUUUAUGUACAUACGUAUGUAUGAUAGUGUGUAAAUAUUUUAUGUAACUUUUGUUCAAUAUAUAGAUAUUAAACGGGUUAUUGGGUAACCCGAUUGUUUUUCCGUGUCGGGUUUGGGUCUCAAUAUUUUGACACGAUUAUUAAAUGGGUCGGGUUUGGGUCGACCUAAAUUUGACACGACACGACACGAACACGACCCGAUGACCCGUUUUGCCAGCUCUAGUCAAAGUGACCGUCACCUACGCAUCGCGUUUGUUGGGCGGGGUGGGUAAGGUGGGGCGAGGAGUUUGUUUGAUCGUCUGAUUACUUUGAUUUUGAUGAAACGUAUGGACGACGGCGAUGGCUUGCCAGCAAGUGGGUUUAUCAUGAUUUUGAUUGUAUUCGGGGAGAUGCUUAUGUAUAUCCUCAAAACUUCUUGGAAAUGAAAACCGCUGGGGUGGCAAAUCUUGACCAAUAAAGUGUGCGUGAUGUUGCGUUUAUAAAUUUCAAUAAUACUAUUGGCCGAUUGAGAUUAUUUUUAAAAAGUUUAAAAAUAAUUUUUAAAGGUUAAAUGUUAAUUUUAAUAUUGAAUAAAUUUUUAAAAAUUAUUUUUGAUAAAAUCAUUUUAUCCUCCAAUAAAUUUUAAAAAAUAGCGAUACAGUAAUUUUUUAAAAUCUAAUUUUAAUAAUCAAAACUAUUUUUUUAUAUAAUUUUAUAGAUAUCCGCAUAUAUAUAUUAUAAAAAUUCGAAAUCAUUAUUAUUAAUUAGGAAAUAAAAUCAUUAACUUUUAAGAAAUUAUUAUUAUUACCAAUUAUACUGACAUAACAAAAUAAAAAAUUAAUUAAUAUUAUAAAUAUUUAUUUCAGUUAUCAACUAUUAUAUAUACACAAUAAAAAAUAUUUUAUAUACAUAUUUAUAAAUGUAUAAAUAAUUUUUAUUCAAUAUUAUAUCGAAUUAAUCAUUUACAUUCUUGCAACAAGUUAACAAUAAAAUUUACCAAACACAUACGAUUGUUUUUAAAACUCAUAUUAUUUUUUUAAAAAAAAAUUACUAAACCUUUAACUGAUUCUCUUACAACUGAUUAUUUCUACAGUACAAUUAACAACAAUUAUUUUAAAAACUAUAACAUUUUCAAACUAGCCCCAUGACAAUAUUGUUAUUGUUGUUUUUCUUACUCUUAUCAAUAAAACUACGUUGCACAUAAGUGCAUAAAAAUUCACACAAAAUAAACUAUUUAACUUUAGGGUAUUAAUUGAAAAAAAAAAUCAGAUUAAGGUGAAUAAAUAUCAGAAAAUAACAAAUAGAUAAACUCUCACACUCUUUAAAAAAAUUAAUUUUAUAAUUUUAUUUAAAACCAACAGAUAUUACCAAACUUAACGGAUCAAUGUUCCAAUGUUUUCUUUUUAAUUUCAAAACCAACAGAUAUUCUUUGUUCAUUAUAUGACCUCCAAACAAAUAAUUUCAUUAAUAAAAUAAUAAUGAAAAGUAUCGUGGUGAGUACAGAGUAAUUCGGUGGCUAAUAAAAGUCUCUAUUUUUCGUCUCUGUUUUUCAUUUUAACUCUUGGGGUUGGUGCCACUUCGGCCUUGGUCGGAGUGGUGGGCUGCUGCCCUCACAAGUAUUGUGAGGACAGUGGUUCAAGCCCCCACAAAUAUUUUUGUGGGGGCUAACGUACUUAUUUAUUUAAUAUUUCAAAAAUUUCUUCUCCCUCGUGCAAUACGAGUGGAGUAUGGACAUCCCUCCUCUAUAAGGGAUUAUUUGUCUGGGCAUGUACUUCACAGAAUUCAAUGUAAUAAUAUAAGUCUCAAUCAUAUAUUUUUGAUUGUAAAUAUCAAUAUAAUAUAUCUGCUAUAAUAGCAGUUGUAAAUAUCUGUGUAAUGCAAUAAUAUGAUAAUUAAUCAUUAUUCAAAAAAAAAACUCUUGGGGUUGGUAGGCUCGUGAAUGGUCCACGUAACCUCUGGACGUAACACUCAAACAAAGACAGCACAAGGCACAUGAAAAAUGCCUAAAAACCGUAAAACCGUGACGUGUUCAACAUAUUAAUAAAUUUAUACUGUGUUUUCUUUUUUUUUUUAAUACUGUGUUGAUAAAGCACUUACGAUGGAACGACCAAUUCUAUUACUUGCAAAACUAAUUAAUAUUUCACUCUAUCAUCUAACUAAUGGAAGGCCAUCUUAAUUGAGGUUGCAAUAGUUAGAAAGUAGCGGGAAGGGUGGCCAAUGCUCCAUAUUAAUUUGCAUCAAUCCCUUUCUGGUGAAGAAGUACGGGUGAAGUAGAGGUCAAAGUUAGAAGAUGAAGGGUGUGUUUGGGAAUUGAGAGUGAGGUGCUGUAGUUUUUUAGCUGCAGUUGCUGUGAAAUAAAAGUUAUAACUGUGGAAUAGAAGUUGAGAAAAAAAAUUUGUUAAGCUGCCAAAGCCCAGUUACAAAUGUUACCAAACACCUUAGUAGCUAGGCUUUGGCAGCCCAUCUACCCCAUCACACUCCCAAACGGAUUAGAAGGGGACCGGGAUUGCUUUGUCAUAUUUGAAAAUGAUUUUGAAAAAAUAAAAAUUAAGUUCAGAAUUUGGUAAAUUCCUUUAAAAUUUCUUUUAGCAAAAUCACUCUCUCCUUUAGAUUUUGAAAAGUAUGGAAUGAGUAGUUUUUUAAAAUUUAAUUUUGAAAUUCGGAUUCAUAUUUAAUAUAAUACCAUAUAUCAUAACAUGUAUUAUAAAAAUCUAAAAUUAUCCUUAUUCAAUCAAUUAAGAAGUAAAAUCUUACAUUUAAAGAUAUUAUCAUUAUCAAUUAUAUUUAGAUAAUAAAAAAUACAAUUAAUAAAAUAAAAAUAUUUAUUUUAGUUAUCAAUUAUUAUAUAUAUACAUAAAAUGUAAUUAUAUAAACAUAUUUAUAAAUGUAUGUGUAAAUUAAAUUUGUAGAUUUAUGUUUAUAUAGAUCAUUUGCAUUCUUAUCACAUUUUAAAAGUGAGAUUUAUUAAAUAUAUAUAUGAUUAUUUUUAAAAUUUACAGCACUUUUUAAAACAAAAGUAUCAAAAGUUUAAUUGAUUCCUUAUUUUUACUGUACAACUAACAGUAAGAUGUGUUUGGUUCAAGUAUAAAAUGAUGGGAUUGGACAAUUUUAAGAUUAAAUAAUCCUAAUGCAAUGUUUGGUACCAAAAAUAAUUGUGGGAUAAAAAUAGUGGACCCCACCAUUUAAUCCAACACAAUGUCAAAAUUUUAUCACAAAGGGGGGUGUGGGAUAAGCUAAAACUUAAACGUAGGAUAACAAAAAAAAAGCCCAAAAUUUUAUACAACACAGUGAUUUUUUUUUUUUUUUGAGUAUGUCAUCAUCCAAUGAUAGUAUAUAUGCCAGAACACUCUUUUGACGUUAAUGAUAUGUAAUAUUUUCAUAUAUACAGCUAGUGACAUUGUUAUGUAAUUUCUUUUUCAUUUAUAGAUUUAUAUUAUUAUUAUAUUUGUUGAUGAUAUUCUUGUUAUGUUUAUAAUUAUAUUAUUUAGUAAUUUAUAAGUUUAAAAACUAUAACAUGUUAAAUAUAAGAAAAACUUUAAGCGAAGAUUUUGUAUUUUUUAACAAAUUUACCAAUAAUUUUUUAUUUAAGUUAGAUUAUAUUCCAUGUCAUUUUAAAAUAAAUCUAAGAUAAUUUUGAUAAAUUAAUAAAUAAGACAUAUUAUUAGUUACUAACCAAUUUCAUGGCAUACCAAACAUGAGAUAUGAUUAUUUACAGUCUAAUCCAACAUUGCACCAAACGUAAUAGAGUAUUAUAUAUAAUCCAAUGUUAUCAAAUCCAAUCAUAUCUUAUCCAAUCCGAUCCGAUCCAGUCUAAUCCAAUUUGACAUACCAAACAAGCCCUAAUUAUGUUAAAAACUACAUCAUUACCAAACUGACCCUUAAUACAAUCUCAUACAUACAUACAUAUAUAUAUAUAUAUUAAAAAUUAAAAAUUAUCUUUAUUUAGUUAGGAAAUAAAACCAUUAUAUUUAAAUAGAUUAAUAUUAUUACUAAUUAUAUUCAGAUAACAAAAUUAAUAAAAUAAAAAUAUUUGUUUGAUUUAUCAAUUAUUAUACACACAUAUUUAUAAAUGCAUGCGUAAAUAAAAUUUUAUAGAUUUAUGUCUAUUUAAAUCAUUUGCAUUCUUAUAACAUUUUAAAAAAAGAAAAGAAAAGUGAUUUACCAAAUACAUGUAAUUGUUCUUCAAACUUACAACACUUUUAAAAUAGAAUUUAAUAAAUGUUUAAUUAAUUUUUUCACAGCUGAUUAUUUUUAUGGUAUAACUAACAAUAAUCUAUAAACUUAUGGUAAAUAUUUGUGUGAAUGUUGGUCCAUGUAAAGAAGUAAAAACAACGCAUAUAUCAAGCAAUAAGAUAUCAAAACUCUUAGUAAAAUACAUAUACUAAUGAAAGAAUGACAGCAAUGCAAUAAAUAAGAUUAUAAUAUAAAUUAUUAAAAUUGUAUAUUAAAAAUUGAUGUAUGAAAUUCUUUUUAUUUUAGUGAUAGAUAAUGUGAUAUAUUUGAAUAAUUUGAUUAAAUGAAAAGAAAAAUAACAAGUAUGGUUGUGGAGGAAAUAAACCAUUGAACUGUGGAAUGUUAUUAAUUAUUGCUAUUUCAUUAUGUAACGUCCUGAUAAUAAGUACAGUGUUAUAGUAUAUUGAUGGGUGGUGAUAUUGUCACCCCUUAAAUUGUGUAAAGUCAACCUCAUUUACAAAUUUUUUGAUAUAAAUUAAAAAGUACAUUAGUUUUAAUAAAUUAUAUAUUUAUUGAAUAAACUAGAACCGUUAGGGAGCUGUAAUGUUAGCACUGUUUUAACUUAUUAUAAAAAAAAAAGUUAUGAUUUGAUCAUAACUCUAAUUUAGAAAAGAAAAAAGAGUUGAAUUGCUAACAUACUUAAAAAUAAAAUAAAAACAUUAUUAUUAGAUGAAAAAUUGUAAAACUUAAGGGGGCAUUUGCAAGUCCGCCACUACUCAAUAGAGCAUUAUUCAGUACUCGUUAAUAUAUCUCGAACUUUUAGGUUUUUUUAAUAUAUUUUUAAUACAUUUUCUAGAACAUUUAGAUAAAAAGAGUCAGUACUCCAAUUGAGUUGUGAAUAAACAUUUAGAUAAAAAGAGUCAAUACUCCAAUUGAGUUGUGAAUAAACUCAUGUUAAAAAAAAAAAAACUCAUUUUCACACUUGAAACGAUUAGUAAAUGGGUGAUACGAAUUUAACUUGGUCAAUAAUAUAUACCAUCUUAAGUUAACUUCAACUCAUUGAUCUUCUAUAGGGUUGAUCAGCCUGCCACAAGGCCCACAAAUUAUCACCUCUAAUGCUUUUGCAACAGUCGUUAUAAAUGCUGACAAAAUGAAACUUCUAUAUAUUUUGGUUUUUUUUUAUUUCUAUGAAAUAUAAGGCCCUUAUGGCAAAUUUCCAUCCAGCGUGAAAUUUGCUAGUUUGGCCUUGGUACUGUGGCACAUGCGUCAUGCAUGCGUGGCUGAGAUGCUUCUAAAACUAAUAAAUUAUGAAGAAUUCCAAAUUCGUACCAAAAAUAAGAGAAUAGGAGCUUGUCAUAGGUGUCCGCGGAUCGGAUUUUAUGGGUUAAACAUUAAUUCAUAUUUGAUUCGUGAUUUUGUAGAUUAUAAAUUUUUAAUUUAAUUCAAUUUAUGGAUUAGUGAAACUCAAUACAAAUUCAAUCCAUAUAUAUGCAAAUUAGAUGCGGAUUUAACCCAAUGCAUAUUCAAUCCAUCAUUUGGCGGAUUGAUUUGCAAAUUAAAAGUUUUUAAUUUUGUCCAAUCUAAAAAGUAAUUAAAUUAAAAAAAUCUAAUAUAUAAAUAAUUGAUUAAAUAAAAAAAUCUAAUGUAAAAAUAAUUUUACUACCAAUUAAAUUCAAAAUUGAACAAGAUUUAAAUAAAUUUAGAAUAAUACAUUCAAAAUUUUAAAAUAUAACACACCGAAAAAAAAAUUCAUUUAUUUAGAUCAAUACAUGAAAAUUAACUAAAAUUAUGAAUUUAAAUGUUGAAACUUGAAAGCUUGGAUGUAACAGGAAGAAUUUAAGAAACUUGAAGAGCUUGAAAAGAAAGUAAGAAAUUAAGUUUAAUUACCUCAAGUGGUGAAGUGAAACAGUGAUUGGCUUGUGCGUGCGGUGGGAUAGAGAUUUGGUGUUAUAUGUCAAAAUAUUUUGUUUGGCUUGGGGUUUUUGUUUUGCUUUAGAAAUUUUAAUGUUUAGGAAACUAUAUUUGCUUAUUUAAUUAUUUCUUAUUUUAUAUUGUUAUCGAAUAAAAUAUAAUAUUUUGUUAAUUUAGCUAUAAUUUUAUGCUGAAUAUAUUUAUUUAAAACGAUUUUAUUAAAUAAAUGUGCAUAUUUAACGAAGGUCUCUGAAAUUUCAACCUGCCUGCUAAUGAUAGCCAAUACGGCACGACCCACCAAAUGUCGGCCCACGCGGGCUUGUGGGCCAUGACGACUUUUUUUGUAAGGGCCCGGCACGGCCCACGGCACGAGUCCGUGCCCAAAAAAAGCCCACCUACCUUUUUUUUUUUUGUCCACAUGUUCAGCGUGCCUAAAAAAACCCACGUGCCUGACGUGCUUUUUUAAGCCCACCAGCCUAAUAGUAACAACAACAACAACAAUAAUAAUAAUUUCAUAGAAAUAAUUAAUGAAAAAUAAAAUAACAAUUCUAGAAUAACAAUUACAUCUAAUUUUAUUUGAACAACUAAUAUUAUAAUUGCACAUAAACUCUAUUGAAUGAAAAUGUAAUUUUUAAUUUAUUAUAAAAAUAUUUUGUUCAUAAUUUUAUUUUUUUGUGCGUAAAUAUGAAAAAUAUUUCAUUCACAAAUGAAACAUAUCUCCAUUAACUAUUAACUAAGUUAUGAUUUCAUAAAUGAAAUAUUAAUGUCGUAAAAUUUUUUAUUUAUCAUUUAUAAAAUCAUGAUAUUUAUUUAUCCAUUUAAUAAAUUAUAAACAUAAAAAAAUUAGAAUACUUAUUUAAACUAGGACUUAAAUUAAUUUUAAAAAGCCUAUACUAAAAAAAUAUAUUAAAAUUUUUAAUUUCAAGGUAUUUAUAAAAUCAUGAUAUUUUAUAUUUAUUUUUCAUUAAAAAAUUUUAUUUUGAUAUACUUUGGCCCACGUGCUAUUGGUGGCCCACGGGCCGCGUGCUUAGCCCACCAAUAAAGUGUGCUUAUUACAUGCCUUUUCGCGUGCCGUGUUUUGCCCCAUCUCUAAUCAUACCGUGCUUUUAAGGCCUGCGUGCCUAAAAUUCUAGGCCCGCAUGCCGUGCCGUGCCGUGCCGUGCCUCGUGCCGCCUGGCCCAUUGGCCAUCCCUACUGCCCGCCAACCACAUUUGUCCAAGAUCAAUUUGUAGGAAAAAAAUUUGAAAAUCAAUAAUUUAUUUAAUUAAUUGUUAAUGUAGGCAUUUGAAUCCCCACAAAAUCUGGGUGUCAGUUCUAGACUUCUGGUGAUAUAUUUUUCUAAUUAAGGAAUAAAAUAUUUUUGUCAUUUUUUUAAUAUUUUAAUUUACCAGGCAUAUCAACUAAUUAAUUUUUCUACUUAGACUAUUAAUUCAUUACGUGCGCAAUCUGUAGCCCGGCGCUCCAAUCCCAUGCAUGUUACACACAACUCAAUCAUUAUUUAUUUAUUUAUUUAUUUUGACCAACAACUCAAUGUUUUUUAUAGAGCUGUCAAAAUUUGACACGACCCGAUUACCCGACACGAACACGACAUAAAUAAAUGGGUAUGGGUCGUCAAAUUUAACACGAUUAUUAAAUGGGUCGGGUCCGGGUCAACACGAUUUUUUUCCGUGUCGGGUUUUGGGUUAAAAUUCUUGACCCAUUUACCCGAUCAAUGACCCGAUUAUAUUUUCUAUUUUAAAAUAAUUUACAUAUUCUUAUAAUUAAAACUCAAAUAUUAGAGAUGAUUUUUUUUUAUUCUUUAAAAUGGUGAAUAUAAACACAGUGUUUUAUUUAUAAAAUUUUACAUACAUUUAGAGCUUCAAUAGUGUAAAUGUGUAAAAAUUGAUAGACAUGUAUAUUUUAUAAUAUUGAUAUAUAAUAUUAUAUAUAUAUAUAAAAUUAAAACCUCAAUAGUGUAAAUAUGUAAUAUAUUGGUAGAUAUAUAUAUUUUAUAAUAUCGAUAAAUUAUGUAUGUAUGUAUUUAUGUACAUACGUAUGUAUGAUAGUGUGGAAAUAUUUUAUGUAACUUUUGUUCAAUAUAUAGAUAUUAAACGGGUUAUUGGGUAACCCGAUUAUUUUUCCGUGUCGGGUUUGGGUCUCAAUAUUUUGACACGAUUAUUAAAUGGGUCGGGUUUGGGUCGACCUAAAUUUGACACGACACGAAACUGACACGACAUGAACACGACCCGAUGACCCGUUUUGCCAGCUCUAGUUUUUUAAUAUGAAAAGGUAUUGGUUAGCUUUGUCUUUAGUUUUUUCAACUUAUAAUAAGUUUGUAUUAAGGCUCCCUUUGGUACAGAUUUUCAAGUAAAACUUAUUUAGGGUUAUUUUUAGGGACCUCCCCUGAGGUUUGGUGUAUUAACAAUCUGAUAGAAAGUAUUCACGUAAUUACAAAGACCUCCCCUGACAUUUGUAUUAUGUUAAGUGGACUGUUAUUGACUAUUGAAAAUCCAAAAAUACCCUUCCUGCCAAAAUAUUUCUUUAUUCACUGAUGAACUGAUGGGUAAUUCGUGCCAAAAUCACAAAUUACUUAAGAAGAUGAAAAUAUCCAUUGGAUAAAAAAAAUGAAAUUGCUUAAUAAAAAAAUUGACAUUGCAUAAUAAUAAAAAAAAUUGAAAUAAUGUGCGGCGGCAUAGCUGCAUCUUGCAUGCAUAUUAUUAUUGUGAUUUUUUUAUUACAAACUCCUUCAUAACUAAUACAUGCCACAAGAGCAGAGCUAUUAAAAGAAAUGAUUUUCAUAUUGUAAACUUGAUAGUACAGGUGUUGGCACCGACCAUAAAACCCUUAUGAUACCAAUCUUUGCUCCAUCCAUAUUUAAAUCCAGAUCAAGUAAAUAUUAAAUUGGAUUUCAGGUCCUGAAAAUCCUACUCUAUAAUUGAUAUCUUCGAGUUUUGUUGGUGCCUCAAACCUGGAUCUAGAGCAUCAUCUCUGUCAUACUCGGAACACCUAAACUAAUGGACUUGCUGCAGCUGCUUAUUCUUCUUCUGAAAUGAUGCACGCAUAUAGAUUACAGACUUUGAAAUAAGAAAUACAAUAAACAACAUGUAAUCGAACUUAAGAUUUCGGCACACUUGUUUGAAAAUUAGAAUCAAACAAGGAAAAUGGCAAGUCAAUAUUUUUUAAUCUAGAAAAAGGGAAAUUUCAAAGUUUAUCACAUGCCAAAUUCAUAGUCUUGCAUCCACUAUUUUCUAGUUUGAAUAACAAACAAAAGCCUUAGACAAAAACACAGAGAACAUCUCACAUGGGAGCAAAAAUUGUGUGUAGAACAAUAUACUUAAGUUACAUGUGAUUACAAUCACAUUAUUUAGCAAAUACAAAAUUACCUUCUCAAAAAAAAAAAAAAAAAAACAACACCACCAAAUUAUUGAAGGUAUUACAACAAUAAGGCAAAAGAACACCAAAGGCAUGCACAAACCGAAACUAACACACAACUCAAUUAGUGUCAUGACCCCAAACUGAACAAUCAUAUAAGCCAUUGUGGGCUCUCUAAAAGAUUAUCACAUUAUAAGCAAACAGAAACCUAUAUUUGAUGAACUACAUCUAGUACUUACACAACUCUUAAAUCAUUAGGAAAUUGCUCUUAUCAGUCAUUACCCAAUAGUUUUUUUCAACUCAACACUAACAACCCCAAAGAGAAACAACAUCCAGCACCAUUUUCAUUAAUUAAAACAGACCCAUUGUUAUUUUUAAUCAAUAAAAUAACAACAAUAUCGUGUAAGCCACUGAUUCAAGCAUUCAAGCUGUGUUUUCGAAGACUGACCUCUUCUUGCUAUCUAAUUCCAGUCACGAUAGACGCUAGAUGCCGGCAAUACUCGCUUCUUGGAAGCUCUGGACCACCGCACGACGUCAUCUUGUGCAGUAGAUGAAAAUAAAUCAAUGAUUUCAGAAAUUAUUUGUGAGUUGCAGACGCUUCUUCUCCAUGGAUGAAAAUGAUGGUGGGUUUUGUUCAAGUGUAAGCUGUGUUUACGAGGAGAAGUACACUUUGUGAAAAAAUCAUUUUCUUUCAUCUACUGGAUAAUGACUUUGGACUGGGUAAUGGUGUGUUUAAGUCUCUAUUUCACGGACAUUGAAGCAUAUUUUGCUUGAAUUUUGAUUUUGUUUAAAUUUCAAGUUUACUUUUACUUGUUUACCCUUUUAUACUGACGCUUAUGUAUUUUUAUACUAACGUUAAGGGAGGUCUUUGUAAUUAUAUGAAUACUUUCUAUCAGACUGUUAAUACAACAAACCUCAGGGGAGGUCCCUAAAAAUAACCCAACUUAUUUAAAUAGAACUUUUACAAAAAAAAAUUUAGUUAUUUGGUUGUCAAUAAACUUUUCAAGUAUACUUUGUUUGGUACAGCUUUUCAAGUAAAACUUAUUUAAGUAGAGCUUUUACAAAAAAAAAAAAAUUAGUUGUUUGGUUGUCAAUAAAAAUUUUUAUUAAAAAAAAUAUGAAAUUACUUUAUUAGUCAAGUUUUUUUAAAGUUAUGCUAUGAAAAGAAUAAAAUAAGAUUGUCAAAUAAAUAGAAAAUAUUUUAAAUAUUUUAACAUUUAAAAAAACUUUUUAACCUUUAUUUUCAAAAAUCUAAAAUUUAAACUUUUACUAGUAAAGGCAAAAUAAUUUAUUUAAACUUCAAAAGCUUUAUUAGAAAAAUAAUCAAACAAUAACAAAAAUUAUUAUAAAAGCUUAUCGAAUUAAAUAAGUACUUAUAGUUAUUAAAGAAGUUAUAUCUAACAGACACUAAUGCCGAAAGCCCCUUCUAAUUGUGGGUGUAAAAGUUUGAAUUAUGCAUACGGUUAAGGAGUUAAGGUGUGUUUGGCAACUGCAUUAAGUGGAAAUUUUUAUUUUGUUUCGAAUAAAAAUACAGCAAGCUCGUGUUCGGCUCAAAAUAAUGGAACGUUUAAUUUGCAACCGUCGGCGGACGAAGCACACCGUUCACGGCCCUUCGUAUAAAAUUGCAUAUGUAAACGUAAAUAGGUCCGGAUUCAGAUUCGUUGCUGUAGAGAGUGGCACGCACGAUCGGGCUGCUGUCGGUGGUAGGUUGGCAUUGGAAUUCUCAUCACGCGCUUCCCCAGGCGCCUACUUAUGGCAAAUUGACACGUGACGCGUGUGGAUUGAAUGGACAGAGUCCCGGGCAGUGUGUCCAAAGCUGCCAACCGUGCUCUGAUUUUUGUCAUCCAUAAUGGCUAACGACUAACGAGGGAGAUUUCCGGGCAGAAAGAAAUUGUUGUCGUUUCUGAAGGGGAAAAAAAAGUUAUUUAAUUUGUUGUUGAAGACAAAAUGAAGAUCUAAAUAAAUAAUGGCUAAUUUUGAGUGUAAAGCAACGGUAAAUGCAUUAUUAAAUUAGAUUUAGGGUCUGAUUGAGAUUAUUUUUAGAUUUAAAAUUAAUUUUGAAAAGUUAAAAUUAAUUUUGAUGUUUAUUAAUUUUUAUUAAAAAUUAUUUUUGUCAAAAUCUCUCAUCCUCCAGCAUAUUAUAAAAAAUAAGGAAGAAAUAAUUUUUUAAAAUUUAAUUUUAAGAAUCAGUUUUAUACUUAAUAUAAUCCACAUAUAUCCUCGUAAAUAUUAUAAAAAUUUAAAAUUAUUCUUAUUUAUUUAGGAUAUAAAAUUAUUAAAUUCAAACAUAUUAUUAUUAUUAUUAUUAUUGUUAUUAUUAUUAUUAUUAUUAUAAAUUCACACACGCACACACAUACUUAUAAAUUUAUAAAUAAACUUUAUUUAACAUUUUGUUCACUUAAAUCAUUUAUAUUCUUAUAGCAGUUUAACAUUAUGAUUUACCAAACACAGAUAAUUAUUUUUAAAAUCCAUAAUAUUUUUUAAAAUAAAUUUUAAUAAAUGUUUAACUUAUUAUUCUGACAACUGAUUUUUUUUGUAAGGUAUAACCAUUAAUAAUAAAUAUUUUAAAAGUUACAGUAUCCCCAAAUUGGCCCUUACUAAUACUCUGCGUUGCCAACUAAAUACUAAUUGUAACAUUAAACAUCUGGAAUAUUUUUCUCUAACGAAACAACACAAUUAAUUUCCCUCUAAAAAAGAAAAAGAAAAAGAAAAAAUAAACUACCAACCCCACCCCUUUAGACAGCAGAGUUUUAGCUGAGGCGGCUUGCUUGCAUAAGCAUUAAGGCUGCUCUUCACCAACCAUUGAACAUUCUUUCCAUUUGAUUGUUACACUUUACUUCGCCAUCUCAUGUCCAUGUACAUUGUUUUGAAAUGAAGACUUUGCGUACAACUAAUCUUUUUCAAUUCAUAAUAAAAACUCUUUUAAUUAGUUAAUAGCUAUAGCUUCCAAUUGAGACUAUAUAUAAAAAUCCAUAUUGACUGACCAAACCAAUAAUUUUUAAUUGGCUUGAGCAUUGUCUUACUUACUUCAAAAUCGUCACUCUCUUUGAAAAGAACAUGAGAGAGUUCACCUCCAUCUCAACCCUUAACCCUAUAUCUCAGUCAAGAGAUUAUUCAUGGAAAAUUCAGAAAAAAGAAAUGUUGCAAUAUUUACGAAACUCACGUCACGUGAGGUAAGAUAAAUUAUUCCUUUCUGCUUUAAUUCAUGUACAUAAUCAUGAGAAUAACUUUAAUUAUAGUUUAUUUCUCCGUUUUAAGAUUUUUCCUUUUUUUUUUUUAAUUAAUUAAUUAUAGUUCAUUCAUUAAUCCCAUAAGAAAUUAACACCUUUGCCGGUAAAGUCACACAUACAACAAUAUUUUAGAACAAAAGGGAAGAUCAUGCACGAUCAUGAUGUUUUAUUAUAUCUCUAGCAAUAUAAUUAUCUUAUAAUUAAUUAAAAACAAAACAGGUAAUUAAGCCAAAGUGGAUGGCAUGCAUCAAUCAUCAUGCAGAACACCUCCCCUUGUUUUAAAUAUAAAUAAAAGAAAUUUGUGCCCAGAAGACUUAAUUAAUACUUCUCGUUUCUGAAGUGCUCACAUGAUAUAUAGUCGGACGCAUUAUAUUUAAUUUCAUGAAUUAAUCGUACGGUUGUAUUUUGAGAGAGAGAGAGAGAGAGAGAGUGACUGAGUAAGAUAUGGCUUAAUUUAACCAAAUCUACGUAUAAAAUUUUAAAAUGAAUUUUUGAGUUUUAACUUAGGAAUUGUCUAUGAAUAAAAGUGUUAAUCAAAUAUUUCGUGUAAAAACAGUCAGCUGUAACAUUUUCGGUUGCUUUAACAAAACUGUAUAUUUCUGUAAUUUCCUAUAUGGGCCAAAAGGAACAUUUUUCUCAGAAAUUAAAAACUUAUGGUGAAAAAGAUAAGAAAACCAACAGGUUCAAAGGUGCGAGUAAACUGGGCUCUGGUGCGCCCAACUCCCUCUUUUGAUUUUGAGACUCUAUUGACCAUUGAGUUUGAGGCCCCAACGGCCCAGUUUAAAACUGUUAUGAAAAGAAAAAAAAUAUAACUAUAAAAUUAAAAUUAAUAAUGUUUGAUAAAUAUAAUUUUUAAAUAAUAAUUUGACAAAAAUAAUAUAGGGUCUUGUGUAUAUUUUUAUUUGGCAUUUCAAUUAAUCUGCUUAUAUAUAUAUAUAUAUAAGUUAAUCUAUAUUUCUUGCAAGAAGAUAGUAUUUCUUUAAUUAAAGUCAUAACUAAUAUAUAAAUUAUCAACUAACCAUCAAACAUUUAUCUCAUUUUAUCUCCACCACGAUCAUCACCAUUCAUCCUGUCACGAUCUUUAUGUAACUACAAUUAUUUUUUCUUUAAUAAUGUCAACCCACCAACCCCAUAACAAUAUCUCCAAACAUCUCAUCUCAAAAUUCCUAAUAACAUAAGUGUUUAUGUAUGAAAGAAAAUGUGAAAUAUAUAAUCAAAAAGUAGUUUAAUAAUAUAAUGUUUAAAAAUUAUGGUAAAAAUAAGUGAGAGUUUGGCAUGGCAAGUUAAUAAAAAGAUAAAAGCUCGGACACUUGAUGCAUCAAAGUAGCAAUGUCUGUCCAUCAUUAUCAUCAUGCGGGUUUAGGUGCUUCUCAUGAUAGCAUUAGCUGGUAAGACCAUCAUGCAUCGUACUUUCAUUGUUAUACAUUUUGAAGGUAAGAAUGGUUAUGUUACGUCCCUCCGAUUAGGUGUAUUUUUCUUCUUCUUCUUCUUCUUUUUCUUCUUCUUGUACGUAAUAAUUUCUCUUUCUUCCAUGAAGAUUUCUUUCUCUCUUUCUUUUUUUUUUUUUUAUUAUAAAUAAAAUGAUAAGAACUAAUUUCCUUACUAAUUGGUAGGGUCGUUUAAUGGUUCAGAUCCAUUAGAUUUUGUCAAAUUCAAGUCCAAUCCAUCAUAUAUUCCAUUUUAUAUUCCGGAUCCGAUCACUAAUAGAAAUCCAUUAUAAUUUAAAACAAUAAAACGUCGAAUCCAAUUUAAUUCGAUAUGAUCAAUCCAAUUAAAAUAAAAAUUUACAAAUAAAAAUCAUUAGUUGCUCUCUCCAGUUAUAAUUCUUAACAAUUAAAAAAAAUACAAAAUAUCAACUCCUUUAAUAUUUCAUGAUUCAUGUACUUUAUUAUCAUAUGGUUGGAAAAAAAAGUUGAAAUUUGAAUAUUAAAAGCAAAUGUUGGUUGCGACCUGCUGUUUGUAUUCUAUAUUGUUAUAGUAUAUUUAUAGUUAUUUUUUUAGCAAGUUAAAUAUAAAAGUGACAUAUAGUUUUUUUUUAUAAAAAAAAAUAAAUAAAGAAAAUAAAAAAUUAAUUGGUUGGAUUGGUUUAUAUUGGAUUUGAACAUAUAGAUCCAUAGACCAAUCUAAUAACAUUAUAUUUUUUAUUUUGCAAUCUUAUCCAAUCCAAUCAAAAUGUCAAUAUGACAAAAGUUGGAUUGGUUUUGAUCAGAUCGAUUGGUUUGAUUGGAUUGAAUUGAAUUAGAUCUUGAACAUCCUACCAAUUAGACUUUCCGUGAUUUUUUUUUUUCCAAAUUUAAUAAAGAGACUUCCCAUGAAUGUUAAAUGCAGUUUUAUUGAUGAAUUCUGCAAUUUUAAGAAAUGUUUGAUACACGAAUAAUGCAUCUCAUCAACCAAGUAACUGCGUCCCCUGCAGCAGCCGCGGCUUCAACUGGAAUACUGCAGCCACACCGGUCUUGAGACUCAACAUUCGGCCGAAACUCAAGCAAAAGUUGAACAAUAUCAGGCCUGCUUUGAGCUAUAGCAAUAUGAAGCAAUGUUUGUCCCUGCGCACCAGCAGAAUCAGCUGGGUGGGUUCCAAGCAGGGUCACUCUGUUCAAGAACCUCUCUUAUCUCAUCCAUUUCACCAUCCUUAACUAGCUGAACCACAACAUGGGACCCAACAAACAUGAUCUUGAUUCCUAUUGAUGAACGCUGGCUUCUUCCUUCUUGUGAACCAGUCACCAGGAACCGAAUCAAGCAUCAAUGUUGCAUCUUUAAUUGCAGCUGCAGGAACGACAACGCUAUGCAAGAGGAAGGAAUCAUCACAGUGAGGGAAAGUAUGAAGGAGAACUGAUCCUGGAGGAAGAUGAUACGCAAUCUCUAUGCUUACUGUUCCGAGUGGUUGCAUUGACCUGAAUAGUUCGAUCUAUUUCUCGUGUAUCUACUUGCGCUGCACUUUCACUCGAAGAACCUACAAAAUUAUUCAUAACCCGGCAUAAAAAAGACGUAAAGUUUUCAGCGCGAGCAUGGUAACUUCAAAACCCGUUUCAUACCUAUCAUAUUUCAUUCGUCCCGCACCCUCAUUUAAAAGACUAGAGCUUAUAAAAACUAGAAGUACCUUACCCAGAACAUAAAAGCAGACAAAACCCAGUCGAGUAUAAAUAUAACGUUGAAUAACACCUACCAUUUACCAUUUCAUUCAAGAACACCACACAAUUAACGAAACCAACAUCGGUAUGUUUUCAGCCGUUGUACUUUCAACUUAAUUUUGAAAGCGCGGCAGCUAAAGCCUAAACUGUUGUUUGAUAAAAGUCCACCCACUGACUGCUACCUGGCGGCUACCGAUUCCAUUCAAUAGCAGUCAUAAAAUAAAAAGUACAAAACAAACCUAUGUACAAAAAAGGCAAUGAAGCAGCCAUGGAUUCAGUUAUUUGCAUGUUUGGGAUUGUGGUUGAUUCCAAAUUGAGAAUAUACUGCGAAAUUAUGUUUGAUAAGCAUUUAUCUGAUGAUUGCUACUUUAUUGAGUGCCUGUUUGGUAUGGCUUAUUUAAAAGCCAUAAGUGCUUAUUUAAUCGUAUAAGCACUUUUUUAAAAUUUUUAUGGUGUUUGGUUAUUUUUUUAGUAGAGUUUUUUUAGCUUAAAUAAGCUAAUUUACCUCUACUAGCAAAAGCCCAAAAUUUGAGCUUUUGGGAGUAGAGGUUAAAGAGCUUAUCUAAAAAAUAUAUAAUAAAAAAAAUAUCAUACAGUUUAAUGAUUCAAAAGUGUUUUUUUUAUUGACAACCAAACACCCAAUGACUUUUUGUCCAAAAACUCUAUUGGUAUAAGCUCUAUUGUUAUAAGCUCUAUUUAAUAAGCUGUACCAAACGGAGCCUGAGUCUUCAAAGAAAAACUCAAUCAACUAAUGCUCGAUUUUUUUUUUUAAAUGACAAAUCAAAAAGUAUUUUGGAGUAGAUUCUCAAAAGAGUGAUUAUUUGAUAAUCCACCAUAAUCCCACUUAGUUAUCAGAAAUAAAUUAAAAUCCGACGAAUGUUACUUAAGCCAAACAGCAUUAUUUUAUUUUGACCACAAGGACCACAACCCUCAAGCUGUCAAGCAACCGUUACCGUUAACGACCAAUCUUUCACCUCUCCGAAUCUUUGCAAGUCACUAUCAAGCAACCGUUACUAAUAUUUAAUCAAUUAUUAGGAUUAUUGGAUUUCUCAAAUACCUUAUGUACUUUGGUUCACUUUCUACUAAAAUAAAUAUUACAGGAGCUUUCAAAGUCUAGGCUAAGGUUGUUGUAAACAUAGAGAGAUUCAGAGAUAUAACAGCUUGUAAUUACAUACCACAAAGCAUAACUUUGUUCGAAUGAUAAUGAUCAUAAUCCAGAUUAUAGACGUAGAGAGAGGAGAAGUCGUACUUGAGGGGCAAAACGCGGCGUUUUGGCUCGUGGAUGAGGUGCUGCUCCUGAUCGUCGUAGAUUGAAGGGAGGAGAGGUCGGUCGAGGAAGUUUAGGAGACGGUGGAGGCUGAAUUGGUGAAUUUCGAUGAAGACUGACGAAUCCAAUGGGGCUUGAGGGUUUGAUUUGCAAAGAUGAAAGAUAAGAGCAUUGUUUUGGUUUCUGUGCAAAAAAAAAAAAAAAAAAACAUGACAAGCGUUGUUUUGGUUUUGGUUCUAAAAAGAUGAAAAUUUGACUGCAAUGGAUCCAUACGCAGUCGGUGUCAAAUAAGAGGAGAAACAAAUAUGUUAAUCACUCGCUCAAUCACUCAUGCGAAGUGCCUUUUUUUUCGUUGCUUUGGCUUCUGAGAAAUAUAUGCAUCAGAUAUUACAACUCUCGAGGAUAAUGCAUUUUGUUCCGGUUUUGACUGAUAUUUAGUGGCAUUUGAUAAACUGAUACCUCAGAACCUGGUAGAGAGUUUAUUAAAUACAAAGAGAACAAAAAUAUAUGACUAUAUAAGCUUUUACACGGUUGAAGAUCCGGUCAAAUUGGCUUUAGUUAGCAAGAUCAUUUAAAACUUUCAAAAAACGAAUGGUAUCAAAAAGCUCUGAGAAAAAGCGGAAAAAAGGCACCACAAAGAUCUUGCAAUUAUUAUCACAGCUUGAUAAGACAUGGAAAUGUAUCUUACAAAUUGGCCUUCCAAGCAUCAAAGAAUUGGGUGGCGACAACUCCCAUUCCUAGCUGCUACCGUGGCCAGUCCCUUCUAACUAAAAUGGGACAGGACCAAAAGCAAGGUCUCUCCCACUCUCCUUAUGUAUAUAAAAUUCCCUACAUUCGAAUAAAACUACAGAAAAAGAUUUGCACAUCAUCUUCUUUCACCUUAUUUUGCAAUCUUCAAGAGUUUGGAAGAUUUCAAAGCACUUGUUAGAAUGUAGCACUCCAUUAAGCAUUCUCACCUUCCCCACACCCCAAUGGACCUCCUUAAUCCUAUCGGCAGACCUACAAAUUCUGCUGCAACUCCAAUCAAAUAAAGCAACACAAUUGUUGCCUGCCUAAGCCUUCCACUCACAGCCUGCAAUGACAAGUUCAUGAUACAAAAUCAGAAACAUUAAUAAACAAAAAGAUAUUACCAUUACUUGCAGAGGGGGAUUUGUUGCAAUUAGUAAAUGCCAUACUUAUCACUUUCAUUGCAGAUAUCAUCAUCAUCAUAAUACUAGCAAUCCAGCACUAAUAGUCAGAAUAAUAAUAAUAGUAGCAUGAAUAAAGAAUUUCUGCAGAGUAAGCUCUAAAGAUGCCGAAAGUGUCAUCUAUUAUGUUAAUAAUAAAAAAGUCUAUCAAGAAUUCAAGGAAAGAAAACUCAUUAACAAAGAACUAAACUUUUUAAUAAUGUUUAAUAAACUACGUACCUAUGAUUUUCUAUUAUUAACAUAAAUGACACUACGUACAACUGAUUUUCGCUUUCUAAUGUUUCAAAUCAUACCGAGAAAUAUAACAAUUACCAAGUCAGUAAGUAGCACAAUUACUUAAUAAGACUUUGACUUGUCUAACCCAAAAUUGUACCCAAUUCUAUACUCUACCAUGAAAAGCUUAUGAAGCCGAACUUACUUUGACCAAACAGUACUAUUAGCUCAGUUAAAGGAAACCACAAUUGAACAAAGUUCAGCUGAAAUAACUGAACUAAAAAAACUUGAUAAAAUUAAAAGUAACUUAUAACAGUUUAGUAAAGAAGCAUACAAAACAUGAAGAUAAAUAAACAUAGGUCUAUUUUCUUGACACUACCAGGUCCUUUCCUUUUUUUUUUUUCAGAUAAGAUCUCGAUACUACCAAGUUUUGGAUUCAAAAUCACCAUAUUACAAUAAUAGUUGUGAUUCAUGGGAUACAAUAUGUAGCAGCUUAUAUGUCGGCAAUUAUAGUCAAAGAUGGUUGUCAAACAUCAUCGCAAAUCAAGAAGCUAAUAAAGACCAUGUCACACUACAUUAACAUAUAUCAGUUCUUUGAUACAAAGAUAUUGAAUGUUAUACAUUUCUAAUCCCAAGUCCUGAAAUACAAAACAAAAGUUCACUUCACACAGUCAUAAAGCUAGACUGCUAGAUAAAUGGACAAUAGGCAUUGGAUAUGGGUCAAUAAACUAUUAAGCUAAUUAAUGCACACGAAGGAAUCCGUUAGAGCUAGUAAAAUAGCCCUUACCAGAGAACUCGCAGAAGCAUUCAAUUUCCUCAAAGGAGAUAACUUACAACAUAAACAUUUUGAUAAGCAGCAACACACAUAAAAUAGCUUCACUCACUAGCAACAGAGCAACUUCUUCAACACAUUAAUAAAUCCAUUUUCAUUUUUAAACAACAAAAUAAUGCCCAGUUUCUCCAGCACAAAUAGGGUAAGCAGUAAUAGAAAAACAUGAUACAUAGGAAUUACCGGCCUCAAGAAAUCUCCAAGCUUUCUGUCCUCUGCUUCAAUUGCUCAAUCAAGAAUGCCCCAGACGUUGCGCUAGCGUGGUGGUGGAGCGUCGCGAAGCGUGUGGCGGCGGUGUCGGCGAAGGCAGGUCAUGAAGAUAGUUGGUGUCGCGCAGCGAAGGCAGUGCAGCUGGUGUCAUGCGGCGAAGGCAAAUCGCGUGGUGGUGGAGUUGGGGUCGCGCGGCAGUGGCGGUGCGGUGCUGAGGCAUAAUAGUGGCGGUGGCGUUGUGCGACAGUGGCAGUGUGGAGGCAGAUUGCGUGGAGCUGGCGGUGUUGAGGCAGAUCGCGUGGAGGCAGAUGCCGCGGUGGUGGAGUUGCUGUCGCGAUCAACGCCUGUGAAAGGGAAUGAAAGUGAAGGAGAUACCUACAAAAGAAAGAACGAGUGAAAUUUUUUUUUUUGUUCAAGGGUUUCAAACCCACAUAAACCCGACUCUCACACGGGUUCAGUAAGUUUAUGCGGGUUUGACUGCAUUACAAAUUGGUAUGACCACAACAACAGUACAAUGAUUGGUAAUUACCAAACAUGCUAUUUAUGUUGGUAUUAAAUUAAUUUAAUACAAUGAGGAGUGGUAAUAUCAUACAAUGAGGACUGUUAAAUAUGGUGUGUUUAAUAUGUUGUAUUGUAUUAUAUUAUUUUAAUACAAAUAUAUUAUAUUAUCUUGUAUUAUAAUAAUAUUAUAUAAUAUUUUGUGCUACAUUGUGUUGUAUUAAUUUAUAAUUAUAAUAUAUUUAAUGUUGCACCACGCUGUACUAAUUUUUUUAGUAAUCAAUUUAAAUUAUAUAUUUUACAAAUAAUAUUUAUUAAAAUACUUAAAAAUGCUAAAUAUGAAAAUAUUGAAUUUUAAAAAUUUAAUAUUAUUUUUUUAAUAUAAAUAUUAAAAAAUAUCAUAAUUCUUCAUAGAAAUCGAAGUUCAUGGCAUUAAAUUUUUAACGCCGCAUACAUAAUAAAAAAUUUGAUUCUCUAGUGCCAAUAUAAUAGAAUACAUAAAAACGAGACUGAGAAACUACGAAUAAAGCUCAUCAUCAAGGACUCCACAACAUUAUAAGAAGUACUAUGUAACAUUUGCCAAAUUACAACACCACAUCAAGACAUAUCACAAUGUAAAAUUUUUCCUAGAGAUUUGGUAAUUGAAAAACACAAUUCAAGUUGAAAACUGAUAGUCGACUUGAAAAGUUUUAACAUAUCCCAUAAAAGAAAUGUGCCAUGCCAAAAAUCCUAACCCUUGGCUCUUUGACGAUAAGAAAAUAUUGAAAAUUCCAAAGUACAGUGCAAUGGGAGAAAGAAUGCCUAUAAAGCUAGUAAAGAUAUUCUUAAACUACUAUUGGGAUGUUGGGCUGGUUGGUAGCAAAACCCAAACCCUGCUGCUGAUUUCCGAUACCACCAUCUUGGAUAAGCCGCUCUCCCUCCUCUUCCUAACUCCUAAGCCCAAUAUCUUUCCAAAACCUUCACAACCCACUCAUAAAUCUCAUUGUUGUCGUGGAUAUGCAAAUUCUCAAUCUUUUCUACUCCAUCACACUCAUCAAUCAUUUGGGUAUAAACAUUAACCCAAUUAUCCAUUCCUAUUUCCUUGUUAACCUCACCCACCUUGAAAAUGUUCUCAAGACCCUAUAGACAAACUGUGACGAUCCUUUGGUCCAGACAAACCAGAAGAUCACAGAGCGGUUUGAUGCAACCUUGGCUCACCAGGAAUCUGCAGGACCAUGGUACCAUAAGUGAUUCUAUCACAUGAACAUCAUUAGAUUAAAAAAAGAAAAAAAAAAGAAACAUCUAUCGUAUGAACAUUGCUGAGUGAAUAAAAGAAACAUACUGAAUAUGUUCAUGAGAUCCUCCAUAUGUGGCAUUUAAGACAGGCCAUGCAGCCUCCUUGAUUUCAAGUUCUGCAUGUUGAAGAAGAGGUGCACAAAAGGAAGGAUAAGGAAGGAUGAUAUUGGCCUCCAUAACAGCCUGUUGAACAAAAAUUCGACAAAUUAUAAUUAUGAGUAUAUUUAAGUAGCAAUUUUGUCAGAAUUAACUAGACUUGACUAUUGAGGAAGUCACAUUCAAAAAUAGAAAAGACGAGCAAGCAAUUGUAUUCAUGCUAUCGGGACCAAAAUACUAUGAUGCAAGCAAGAAAGAAAAACAUACAUACAUAUAAAACACUAUCUUUGAGUUGGGUAUUUUCUUUCAAUUUUGAUAAUGGCAACUUUGGAUUCUUCUGCUGAAUUACCACCACCACCACACCAUUGUAGUUUCACAUACUAAGAAAAGGCAGGUUCAGCUCCCGUGCAUGCCCAUAAGAAUAUGAUGUAUUAAUUAGAAGUAAAAUUAAUCUGUUCAAUUAAGUUCUCUCAUAUAUUUGUGUGCGUGUGUGUGUUAAUUAGUUUGCUUUCAAAUCUUUUCUCCCUUCUUAAUGAUAUAUAUUUUAAGCAUGAUAUCAACCACGAUGAAUUUAUUAGCCGAUUUUUAAUUAUACAUUCAGCAUGAUAUCACAAACCAAGAGCUUAAGUUAGCCUAAUUCUUCAUAAAUCUAAUAAUUGCAAUCAAUAAUAAUGCUGAAAAUACGAGUUUGAAUUAAGCUAGCAACUGGUUCUUAAAUUAUGCAAUAUGUAAUCAUAGGUUUACUUAAAGAUUAAAGCAUUUCUGCAAUCCAUUGUGCAAAAAGAUUAAAAAAAAAAAAAAUAGUUGCCAAAUUUUAUCUAAAUAAAAAUUCCUUUAGUGGUUAGUACUUGUGAAUUAUAGAAAUUAUUAUUAGUACUUGCUCAGCGCUUUUUAGAUUUGUACAGGUAGAUUACGCCAUUUCAAACCCGACCAUCCAUUUAGACAUACAAAUCCCCCCAAUUCCCUGUCCUCCGCCUUUACGCGACUCUCCACUGUAUGUGCCAACUAAUUAAUUUUUUAAUUACUUGUUUAACUAAUUAAUUCAUUUUCUCAAAAGCAAGAUUAAUCUAUUUGUUCAAAUCUGAAGGAGAUUAAGUUAAUUGAUUUUAUUGUAUGUAAAAAUAUACAAAGAACUCAUGAAGCCAACUAGAAAAAAAAAAAAAGACAAAAAAAAAAUCAAACCCAGAAAUAAAAAGACAUGCUUCGACAGAAAAUUAAUGAAAAUUAUACUGAUUGUGGUUCAAUUUGAUCAAACCCAAAUAAUAACCGGUUUGAUUGAUGACUCAGCGGCAAAGUGCAGGCGCAUCAGUGGUUGCACAGAUGAGUGUUCUCGUGCGGCACGACAAAGCAAUUGUCGGCGAUUGUGAUUGGUGAUGACAUCGAGCGAUGGGGGUAAUGGCAUCGGUCGUGACUUUGUGAUGGAGAAACGAAUGUUAGAUUCGUUCGAAGAUUCGUGUUUUGAUUGAAUAACAAAGAGAGAUUUUAUGAGUUUUAAUUAUCUAAUACGAUACCGCAUAAACCCGACUCGUACGUGGGUUUAUUUUAUGCGGGUUUCGGUGUACUAAAGCAGUAAAUUUAUGUGGUGCAAUUCAAACUGAUUUCACCGCCAAAAGAUCGUGUAAAUUUAAUAUUAUACAGGGUUUUAAUACUAUGUAAUCCAAUACACCAAACAUGCCCUUAAAAACGGAUAGCAAUCCGGGGCCUUUAAAAACGGAUAGCAAUCCGGGGCCUUUAAAAACGGAAAAUACAAGCAGAGAAAAAGAAAAGCCAAUUGUUCAAAAGUGCCUAAUAUGCCCACGGAAAAUUUUCGUCACGACCCACAGUUACUCGAAUAGGUAAUAAGACAGGAAUGCCUUUGUUUGUUCGAAUAUAGAAGCACAAUGGCUCAGAAAGGAUCCCUCCAAUCUCCUUGGCACUGUCAGCUGGGUGCGGAGUAGCUUGGUGGCAGCAACCAUGUUUGAGAGGGCUGGCUUCACCUCAGUGUACUUGCGAGUCUUGAGACCACAGUCAGGGUUAACCCACAAAAUGUUGGUUUCUAGCACAGUACGCAUCUCGUAGAUUCUGUCAACAAUUUCUUCGGUUGAUGGUAUUCUUGGAGAGUGGAUGUCAUAGACGCCAGGGCCAAUUGCAGCAUCAUACUGGACUCCCUCACGGAAGACUGACAGGAGAUUCUCAUUAGAACGAGAGUUCUCAAUGGUGAUCACAUCAGCAUCCAUGUCGAUAAUUGAGUGGAUAAUGUCGUUGAAGUUGGAGUAGCACAUGUGGGUGUGGAUCUGUCAAUCAAUAAACAAUAGAAUGAGAUACAAAAUCAACAGCUAAAUUAAAGAGAUGAGAUUGGAGAUUAAAAGGGUAACUGACCUGGGUAGUGUCCUGGAUGCCACAGUUGGUGAUUCUGAAGGAGUGGACUGCCCAGUCCAAGUAGAAAGCAUGCUCAGAUUUCCUGAGAGGCAAUCCUUCCCUCAAGGCAGCCUCAUCAAUUUGAAUAACGUUAAUGCCUGCCUUCUCAAGAUCCUCGACUUCGUCCUUGAUGGCCAAAGCAAUCUGGUAGCAGGUUUCAUGUCUGCAAAAUUGGCAGCGAUUGAUGUUAAACAAUGUUUCCAUUCCAAAAGGUUAACCAAUAGUGAACCAGUUCUCAUUUAUAUACCUGGGCUGGUCAUUUCUGACAAAGGACCAGUUGAGAAUGGUGACAGGGCCAGUAAGCAUUCCCUUCAUUGGGCGAGCAGUCAUGCUCUGAGCCCAGGAGGACCAGAAGACGGUCAUAGCCUUGGGACGGCUCACAUCACCAUAGAUGAUGGGUGGCUUCACACAGCGAGAUCCAUAGGAUUGCACCCACCCAUUGGCAGUGAAGGCGAAACCUGAUAACUGCUCUCCAAAGUACUCAACCAUGUCGUUUCUCUACAAAAACAAAUGUCCGAAUUCAAUUUGAGAUCCAGCAUACUUCGUAUGCAAUUAGAAAUGCAGAAACAAAAAUGUAUAAAAUUUUAUGUAAUUCAAAACCAGGAGACAUUGCUUUGCUUCCAUUGGGCAUUGCGAGACUCACCUCAGGCUCUCCAUGGACAAGGACAUCAAUAUCAAGCUCUUCUUGGAGUUUGACAACCUUGUUGAUUUCCUCCUUGAUGGAAGCAACAUAUUCUUCCUCAGAAAUCCUAAAAAGGACAAAUAGUCACGGCACAGUUAAUACAGUAGUUGCAGUAAUUUCACACAUGGCAUUGAAUGAAGAAACACCUCAGAUUGACUCACUUCUUAGCCUUGUAUUCACGGCGGACUCUCCUAAGUUCAAUGGUUUGUGGGAAGGAUCCAAUUGUGGUGGUUGGGAGGAUUGGAAGAUUGAGCUUCUUCUGUUGAGCAUCUAAUCUAGCACUAACGUUUGUAGCACGUCUGUGGUCUGAUCCCCUCAAAGCAGCAGCCUAAUAGACCAAGAGGAAGGAAUCACUGUUAGCAAAAAAGGAAAUUCUAAGGGACAGCCACAUCAUAAAAAUGGAAAACAAAUCAAUCAUGCCACUUACAGCCUUUUGAACUGCCUCAUUGGUCACUCUCGGGGAGGACUUUCUUGAAGCCUGAGCUGCAGCAUUGGCAGAGAAGAAUCCCUGGAAACAAAUGAUAAGGAGAACCAAAGUUAGUCUCAUUCAUAUCAUUUUAAAAAGAAGAUACAUAUGCAAUUAGUGGGCUGAUUGUGAGAGAAAAAGUCCCCAAAACUUUAAUCAAACACCAAAUGCCCAAGUUGCCAAAUGAUGUUUAAUUCGGAAAAAUAUAUUUAAAAACAUUCAAAUAUAAUUUCCCCUUCUAAAUUUUCAUUUUCAACAACAUAUUUUACAAGCCAAGCUCAACGUCAGGCCAAGAUUUUGUGCUCCUAUAAUUAUAUUUUACCAUAAAACUAGGUCCUUGAAAGGCUAAGAUUUUCUGACUCUUGUGACUAGUCAAAGCCUAAGAUUCUUUCAAUUCAUCCGUAGUAAAAGUAUACCUCAUCCUUUUGGCCAGCCAAAGCCUUGGCCAAUGCAUUGACUUCAACAACUUUCUGGGCAGCAAAUGCCAGCCAUGACUUGAUUUCGUCGUCGAGUUUGUUCUCAUUAACAAGAUCAACAGCAGUGUGAAGAAGUGAGCAGGAGGUGGAGACCACAAGCUUGUCUGCAAAGAAAAGUAAUAAAUUAUACAACAAAUCCCAUAAUAGAAUAAGAAAUAUUUAUCACAAAGAAAAAUGCAAGCAAAGGAUGUAUACCUUUGCCAACAACA